UGACUGAGCGGCGGACGGGUGAGUAACGCGUGGGUAACCUGCCUCAUACAGGGGGAUAACAGUUAGAAAUGACUGCUAAUACCGCAUAAGACCACAGCACCGCAUGGUGCAGAGGUAAAAACUCCGGUGGUAUGAGAUGGACCCGCGUCUGAUUAGCUGGUUGGUGGGGUAACGGCCUACCAAGGCGACGAUCAGUAGCCGGCCUGAGAGGGCGACCGGCCACAUUGGGACUGAGACACGGCCCAAACUCCUACGGGAGGCAGCAGUGGGGAAUAUUGCACAAUGGGGGAAACCCUGAUGCAGCGACGCCGCGUGAAGGAAGAAGUAUUUCGGUAUGUAAACUUCUAUCAGCAGGGAAGAAAAUGACGGUACCUGACUAAGAAGCCCCGGCUAACUACGUGCCAGCAGCCGCGGUAAUACGUAGGGGGCAAGCGUUAUCCGGAUUUACUGGGUGUAAAGGGAGCGUAGACGGAGAGGCAAGUCUGAUGUGAAAACCCGGGGCUCAACCCCGGGACUGCAUUGGAAACUGUUUUUCUAGAGUGUCGGAGAGGUAAGCGGAAUUCCUAGUGUAGCGGUGAAAUGCGUAGAUAUUAGGAGGAACACCAGUGGCGAA
rnacentral:rRNA from 1 species